ensembl:lncRNA
GAAUCCUUUGGUCGUAGCUUGGAGUAUUUCUGAAGGACAGCAGAGAUGAAUCAGACUUCUUUCUCAAGAAUUAAUUGAAAUAAAUACUUGUUAACCUUCUGAUCAUUUGGUGUAGGAAUGCACUCAUAGGCAUUGGAGAGAAGGAAGAGUGCAGCUGCCAUUAACAUUCCCAUUAAUCUGCAGGCUACUGUGACAGUCCAAAAAAUGACCAGAAUUACCAGCCAAUUGGCAUGAUGCUGAUGCAAGUCCUCCAAAUGUGCAGCUGCUGCCCUGGCAUCCAUGGUGAUUUUAAUAGCAGUGGUGGCAUGUAUUAAUUAAAUCAGCAGGGAAACAGCAAGUUUAUGACAUGGCUUAAAGGAAAACUGAAUGUACAUCAUUAAUACAGAGGAGAAAAGGUAGUGUACAAUGACAUUUCCUUUUAAACUGCUAUUUAAACUGUUACUGUUGUAAUUUGAGCGCUCUGGCAUGUGAUGGUGUGAGUGGAAAUGUAUUCUCAAGCUAAUGCACCAGCUUAUUGCCUUUAAAUGGUUUUAUUUACCUUCUUUUAAAGACAUUUGGCACAUGUCAGCCUGGACAGACAAUGUCUGCAAAGUCCCGCUUGUUUUCACCUCUGUUACCCUGUAAGGAUGCUUUGCAGACUCUCAGCCCCGGCUCCUCUGCUGCCACAGGCUCACAGCGACUGACAGGAGCACAUGAAGCAGGAGGCUGAUUAAUAUUGACCGCAGGUAGCGCUCCCUGCCACGCCACCACCGCGGAGGCCUUGACAGUUCCAUGACCCUCAUCCUCGCACUGCUCCCCUCCCUCCGGCUGCCUCCCACUCUGCUACUUGAACAAAACAUCACAUCAGCAUUGUUUACUGCAGGAACUCAGCCAAGGAAGUCAUAACAAGACAAUAGACAUACAAUCUGAUAACCUUGUUAGCUCGGUGGAAUCAGAGCUCCUAACAAGUAGAAGAGUUCAGUAAAGCAGAAUAAAAGUAUUACAGUAUUUGUUGUCAAUGGCUUUUCAGCUCCGUCUUUGAAAACGUAGCAUUUCUUGUGCUUUUAUUUAAGAUUAAAGCUAAGCUCAAGGCCACUAAACAAAAUAGAAUGAACAAGGUCAGACAUGACUUUAAAAAAAAAAAAACAACACAACAAAAUGAUAACCAGAACAGAGAGACAGACUCCUUCAUUGUGUCCAAACAGCAGCAAGUAAAACUAUAUAAAAAGGAUGAGUUUACCAUUCAAAAAUCACCGUGCAGAAACAAUCUGCACGGCACUGUUUCUUAUUUUCUUAAGAGCAAGCUGUGACAGUGCCAGAAGUCUGAAAUGAAGGGCAACAUGCAUGAGCACCAUCACAUUAGCAGAUAAAGAGCAAAUUGGUGACCCCAGUCAUGUCAGAGCAGCAUCACUGCUUCUCCAGGCAAGGAGCCAGAACCUCCCAGAUGAUGCCCCCCUUCCCACAGCAGUGUCCUUGCUCUGACCGGUGCCCCAGAACAGGGAAGAAGCCAGAAGUCAG